rnacentral:tRNA from 1 species
UCUCAGAUGGUCCAGUGGUCAAGAUUUCCGCCUGUCAGUACAUAUUAGUAGGAAUUUUCCUCCUAAUAUGAGCUCGCGGACGACCGGGGUUCGAUUCCCCGUCUGAGAG